CACACACACACACACACACACACACACACACAGAGCCACAAAAUAUAAACCUCAGACUUCAUACGUUACAUGAUCGUCUCCACACAGAUCCUACAGUGAGUCUCUGCUGUAACUCUUAGAUCAAAGCUUAUGAUCAGUCCAAUGUUUUUGUUUCACAGUGUGUUUGAAAGCUGCUCGGCACGUGGCUUACACUUCCUCAUGCUGCCGUGAAGCCGUAAAGCUAAAUGAGGGUCUGUGUUAAGAAUAAAAGAAGGAUUAAAUGAACAACACUGUCUGAGGAGACAGGCAGCUCUUUCAGCAUACUGUAUGUAUAUGAUUUAAAUGAGGUGUGCUCUGCUGUGAGUGGUAUUGGAAAAGCAUUUGUCGGAACAGAGCCUCGCAGAAGCAUCCUUAAAUACAAGGCAAUCACCGUCCAACACAGAGACGAGGCAGGCGGAGAGGUGUGCCCAGACUGCAGAGUGGAAGAGGACAGAUGAUUAUGAUGGUAAUAAGCAAUAAACCAAAACAAAGUCA